CAGCCGCCGCGGUAAUACGUAGGGUGCAAGCGUUAAUCGGAAUUACUGGGCGUAAAGCGUGCGCAGGCGGUUUGUUAAGACAGAUGUGAAAUCCCCGGGCUCAACCUGGGAACUGCAUUUGUGACUGGCAAGCUAGAGUCUGGCAGAGGGGGGUGGAAUUCCGCGUGUAGCAGUGAAAUGCGUAGAUAUGCGGAGGAACACCGAUGGCGAAGGCAGCCCCCUGGGCCAACACUGACGCUCAUGCACGAAAGCGUGGGGAGCAAACAGGAUUAGAGACCCCCGUAGUCCCUGUCUCUUAUAC
rnacentral:rRNA from 1 species